rnacentral:rRNA from 2 species
UUCCACAAUGGGCGCAAGCCUGAUGGAGCAACACCGCGUGAGUGAAGAAGGGUUUCGGCUCGUAAAGCUCUGUUGUUAAAGAAGAACACGUAUGAGAGUAACUGUUCAUACGUUGACGGUAUUUAACCAGAAAGUCACGGCUAACUACGUGCCAGCAGCCGCGGUAAUACGUAGGUGGCAAGCGUUAUCCGGAUUUAUUGGGCGUAAAGAGAGUGCAGGCGGUUUUCUAAGUCUGAUGUGAAAGCCUUCGGCUUAACCGGAGAAGUGCAUCGGAAACUGGAUAACUGAGUGCAGAAGAGG